CAUUUAAAGUGGUACGCGAGCUGGGUUUAGAACGUCGUGAGACAGUUCGGUCCCUAUCUGCCGUGGGCGUUGGAGAUUUGCGAAGUGCUGCUCCUAGUACGAGAGGACCGGAGUGGACGCACCUCUGGUGUUCCGGUUGUCACGCCAGUGGCAUCGCCGGGUAGCUAUGUGCGGACGGGAUAACCGCUGAAAGCAUCUAAGCGGGAAGCCUUCUUCAAGAUGAGAUCUCCCCGAGACCUAGAGUCUCCUAAAGGGUCCCGCAAGACUAGCUGGUUGAUAGGCACGGUGUGGAAGCGCUGCAAGGCGUUGAGCUAACGUGUACUAAUGCCCCGUGAGGCUUGACCAUAUAACCCCAAGGGGUUU
rnacentral:rRNA from 1 species